AUACUUGAUUUUUAGUCGUUUUAUCUCUAUAUUUAGUAUGUCAGCAAUGACUAUGACAUUAAGAGACUAGAUUGUAAUAGACUUUUUGCACCUGGGGGCGGUACCCAGUGUCUCCACCAUUUGAGGGGACAAAAUAGCUAUCGACAUGAAGUAAUAAAGAAUUGUGUUAUGUCCGAGUAAGACAACUCUCGUAAAACGGUUUCAAACCAAAUAGUUGUAAAUGAAAACAGCGAUGGUCAGCUUAAAUUGGCUGCCUAAUUGGCAUCCAUAAGCGCAAAUUCUUAUUAGAAAAUGAUCCUUUUAAGUGAGGUUCGGGGAGCCUAGCAACAUAAUUCCCCAUU
rnacentral:tmRNA from 1 species